GUGGUUUUUACUUCUGGGAUGCUGGGUCAUUAUGUAAAUUAACUUAGGGUCAAACAACAAUAACACCAACAAAGCCAAUGUGUUAGCACUAGAUUACAGGUGAAAAUAGGUCUUUCACAUCUACAUAAUAUUCUUAAUAUUUUUUCUAUUUCCUUGUGAUUCCAAUUCGAAUUCAUUCUUUUUUUGUAGCUUUGAGUUUUAGUUAUGCUUAUUCUGGAG
rnacentral:misc_RNA from 1 species